rnacentral:rRNA from 1 species
CCCUUAGAUGUUCUGGGCCGCACGCGCGCUACACUGACGGAGCCAACGAGUACAUUCCUUGUCCGGAAGGACUGGGUAAUCUUGUGAAACUUCGUCGUGCUGGGGAUAGAGCAUUGCAAUUAUUGCUCUUCAACGAGGAAUUCCUAGUAAGCGUGAGUCAUCAGCUCGCGUUGAUUACGUCCCUGCCCUUUGUACACACCGCCCGUCGCUACUACCGAUUGAAUGGCUUAGUGAGCCUUUGGGAUCGGCAGCUUGUACCGGCAACGGUAGCAGGCCGCUGAAAACUUAUGCAAACUUGGUCAUUUAGAGGAAGUAAAAGUCGUAACA